GGACCCCCCCAUGAUGUUCAGCACUGAGCUCUGACUGCCCAUGAGAACACUGCCCCUAGACCUUUGCCACCCGGGAGUCUGAGGGGCCC
rnacentral:snoRNA from 1 species